GGUCUGUCUUCUUUUUGGGUUCUCUCGAAUUUUACUCAAUUGCAUCUACGUCUUCUGUGAAGGAAGGAUUCGACGCUGAAAUCGUGAGGGUUUUGAGCCCGAUCUCAAUCUCCUCUCCGGGACACUUUCUACUGGACGGGAUUUCUUCAGAAAAACAAGUUGUGUUUGCCAAUUGAAAGUGGAAUAAUUCAAGAAACAGCAGAACCUUCGAUUCUGCAACAAUCUAUAGAAUGGUUCUGCAUGGAUGCAAAAGGCGAAGAGAACCCAUUAUAGUUGGUGAUGGAAAAGGCGACACCUUGGUGGAUAAGCAACGGCAAGGGGAAUGCACUAUGCUUAGUGAUGGAAGAGGGGACACCUUGGUGAGAAGUAGAAAACCUCAGGCUUUGACCAGUAAAUCAGAACUCCCUUUACUUGACCUGCCCUAUCACAUACUGUACGACAUUUUUGCAAGGCUUCCGCUACUGAACAUACUCCGCUGCAGAUGUGUUUGCAAGACACUCCUUGGCCUUCUCAAGGAUUCAUAUUUCUCCACAGUACAUCUUACUAGAGCACCCAUUGUAACAACAAACCUAAUUCUUCAAGAAAAUGUUGGGAAAUGGGGAGCUCUACACUUCUUUACAUUUGAUCUUCAGGAAUCCGCAUUGGCCUCUUGCAGCAGUGAUAAUCAAAAUGGUAAUUGCUAUUUCAGCCAUGGGCUGCCCACAUUAAGCAGGACAAAUGCAGACUUCAGUUUCCGUACCCAAAGGCUAACUCUUGUUGGUUCCUGCAAUGGACUGCUAUGUUUGUAUUUUGCCUCAUCACCAAAUCCUUUCUAUGGCAUCUGCAACCCUCUACUUGGUGAAUGUUUAAAGCUUCCUCCGGUAACUGAAUCUGCUCCAGCUUACACCUAUGCCAACUAUUCAGGAUUCGGUUACAGUACGAAGAUGAAGCAAUAUAAGGUCAUUAGUUUCAUGUACCGGACAUCCAGUGACCCUCAGUUAUCCACAGUCUCGAAACAAAUGGUGGCUAAUGUGCACACACUUGGCUCAGACUCUUGGAGAAGAAUCGAGAAUGUUCCAUGCCCAGAACGCAGCUCUUUCGACCCUUUCCUAAAUGGCGCCCUCCACUGGAUCACCAACAGCGGGAAACCCUCUGAGCUUAUAUCUUCAUUUGAUUUGGAAAACGAAAUGUUUAAGGCCAUCCCACCGCCACCUCACUUCAAUGUACAGUACAUGAAAAAAGUGGUGGGGAUUAACAUCGGCAUCCUGAGAGACUGCAUGUGCAUGUGCUACAUAUACAAUGGGGUGGAAUUCGAGGUUUGGGUGAUGAAGGAGUACGGGGUGCAGGAUUCAUGGACGAAAGAGUUCAGCAUCGACUUGAAAUUCUACUGCAAGUUGCAAGUAGAUGAUCUGCGACGGCCCAUCAAAUUUUUCAGCAAUGGGGAUCUGUUGUUCAUAUCGAGUUAUGAUUCAAUAGUGUGUUUCAGUCCUCAAAAGAGAACUUUCAGGGAAAUGAGGUCGCUGGGGCCGUGGCUGAAAGAGGUCAGCGCUCACAGUUUGAGCUUCUUAUCGCUGAAGGAAGUGGCGGGAUCAAAGAAAGACAAGGUGAGGAACCUCAAAGUCGGGAGAAGGAGGUGUAUGUAUUAGCAGAGUUGAGGUUUAAUAUAUAUAGAGAGAGAGAGAGAGCAGUUGCAGAACUAAUUGUGGUGUGAUUCAGCAGAAGCAACAAGGGCAGGCAGCAUCAAUAACCAAUCUGUGAGACCACUACCUAAGGUAUCAUUCAUGGGCCGAACUCAAUACUGGAGGUUUGAGUUGCAAAGACAGCAAGAGGGUGCGGCCAUCUAGCACUGAGAAUCGGGAUGAAGACAACAAUAGUAGCAGGACCCGAAGUGUGGACAGGGUUGGGCUAACAGUCGGAAAUAAGCCCGACGGGCAUGUCGAUCUUAGUUGGAGUCACCAUUGGACCUCCACUAGCAUCCAUAACAUCAACAACAUUAUUGUUGGAUGACAUUAUUGCAAUAUUGUAUUAUAUGCGCGAUUAUGGUAAUUAAUAUCGCGAGAAUAAUAAAAUAAUCAUCAAAUAAAUAAUUCGGUCCG